rnacentral:lncRNA from 1 species
AAGAUUGGGAUUAGUAUCUACAAUACCAUACAUGAUAGUACGAAAAUGUAUAGCCAUGACAAAACAGAUAGUACUACAUGGGCUUCAUUCUAAGUCCUCCUUUUUGUGUCCCUCUUUUUUUUUCCAAAUUUUGCAAGCACCAUAGGGAAAAAAUACAUUUUACCCAUUGGUGAACAUUGUCCAUAAGCGAUCAACUGGAAAAAAGUCAUAAUAAAUAGGGAACAGGAACUGAAUUAAAGAAGCCAAUAUCUAAUUUGAUUAGUCAAAAGAUAAUCAUAUAUCCAAGAUACUUAGUACCACGAUUACCUAAUAAUUGCAAAUCCACUAUCCGUCAACAUUCCCGAAAGCUGGCUUUUCAUAAGCCACAAGUAACAACAUUGCCUCAAACCCAACUGAAGUAAACAUAGUGCAUUAAAAAUAAUCAGGAAACUUCUGAGGAAGCAUCUCACUUUUCCAAGAGAAAGAAAUAAAAAUGUAUAAGGCUCUAUUUCAUGGUCAUCGACAAAAAAUUAUGUUAUCAGUAACAUAUUAAUUCUUCAUCUCCUUGGUUUCUUUUAAAACCUUAAGUUACCAGUUAACAUGAUAACAAAGUAUAUCGAAGAUAUGGAAGCCAACUUCUACUAACUUGCUCAACAUAAGCUAAGAGAAGGUGAUGUAACAGAACAGAUUGUGCCCUUUGCAGAUGAGCAUAUUUCAAGAACUAUGAGUUAUUCGUUCUUCAUAGCUAGUCUAACCAAUGCCGUAUACAGGUCAUAUGGCAACAAACAUGUAUGCAUAGUAACUUUUGAGGUCUGAAUACCUUGUAAAUUGAACAUGUUGCGCAAUAUCGCCUAUUUUCCCGAGGAAAAAUGGCCUCAAAAUUACCUGAUCUUUCACUACUUACAUUGCUUUACAUAUCCUCACUUUGUUCUUUUUUUGCAUCCAAAAAAACUGCAACAAUGGUUAAAUUUCAUUGUCCUAAAACUAUAAGAUGAAAUCGAGAAGAAUAAAAAGGAAAUUAUACAUUAUUCAGUGAGGUCCAAAUCGCAACAUUCUGAUGUACCUUUGCCAGUAACAGAGAUUGACCCAUUGUAAGGUUUUAACAUAGUCAGUUUAAGACCUUGAAAUUAAAAAGAAAUCCAAGCAAUUC